rnacentral:rRNA from 1 species
UACGAAGGGGGCUAGCGUUGUUCGGAAUUACUGGGCGUAAAGCGCGCGUAGGCGGCUUUGCAAGCCAGAGGUGAAAUGCCUGAGCUCAACUUAGGAAUUGCCUUUGGGACUGCGAGGCUUUGAGGACUGGAGAGGUGAGUGGAAUUCCCAGUGUAGAGGUGAAAUUCGUAGAUAUUGGGAAGAACACCGGUGGCGACGGCGGCUCACUGGCCAGUUUCUGACGCUGCAGCGCGAAAGGGUGGGGAUCAAACAGG